rnacentral:rRNA from 1 species
CAAGACAUACAGGUCGAGCAAGGAUGAAAAUCGGACUUAGUGAUCCGGUGGUUCUGCGUGGAAGGGCCAUCGCUCAACGGAUAAAAGCUACCCUGGGGAUAACAGGCUUAUCUCCCCCAAGAGUCCACAUCGACGGGGAGGUUUGGCACCUCGAUGUCGGCUCAUCACAUCCUGGGGCUGUAGUAGGUCCCAAGGGUUGGGCUGUUCGCCCAUUAAAGUGGUACGCGAGCUGGGUUCAGAACGUCGUGAGACAGUUCGGUCCCUAUCCGUCGCAGGCGUAGGAAAUUUGAGAAGACCUGUCCUUAGUACGAGAGGACCGGGAUGGACGUACCUCUGGUGUACCAGUUGUCCUGCCAAGGGCAUGGCUGGGUAGCUAUGUACGGAAUGGAUAAGCGCUGAAAGCAUCUAAGCGCGAAGCCAACUUCAAGAUAAGAUUUCCCACCGCAAGGGUAAGACCCCAGAAAGACUAUCUGGUUGAUAGGUCGAAGGUGUAAGUGCAGCAAUGUAUUUAGCUUAUCGAUACUAAUAGGUCGAGGACUUGACCAAU